rnacentral:lncRNA from 13 species
AUGGGAGAAACCGCACCCUUUAUGCGAGUGAAAAUAAAUAACAAAGAAUCAUGCUGUAGAAGACAGAGGGAAACUGCUGACGGGUGCCCUGGAGGGAGCUCGGGCCGGGGACUGGGUGCACAGGACAAGGGGCGCUGGGGAAGGGUCUGGCUGCCCGGCUGCAGCUUCCUCAGUGAAGCGAGGCCGGCUGGGGAAGGGGUGAGGCGGGUCAGCGGCGCGGGGCUGGCUGCAAGGAGCUGGGAGCCGCCGACACCCAGGGACAGGGGCCGGCGCCGCCGAGACGCGCAGCGCAGGGAGCCCCCCUUCCCUUCGCUGUCAAAACAAUGGCUCUGCCGAGAUGUGACUCACAUCCUGAAAUCCACCCGCAAAAGCACGACCGACGGGGCCGAGCGCCGCCAACGCUCUCACGCAGGCGCACGCCCGUCCCGCCAAAGAGAAACCCCGGCCCCGGCCCCGCCAGCGCGGUCCACACCGCGGCCUCCGGAGCCGCGCUCCCCCGAGCCCGGUCUCCAGGUGCGCCCGCCGCAGCGGGCCUCGCACUCCCCUCCGUUCCCGGCUGCAGGACGGACGGCGCCGCCGGCCCUCAUUCCGCUCGGGGCCAGCCGGGCCCAGGAGCCCCUGCCGUGUGUCUGGCGCCGAGCUGGGCCCCAAAGGCCCCCGAGCCCGCCCAGGGGUUCCCUUCCCUGGGCCGGAGCAGGAGGCACCGCGGGGUCCAGCGCGCCCUGCGCGGGGCGAGCUCGGGGGCGAAGGCCCGCGUCCUCCCGCCUGGGCAGCCCACAUUUGCCCUCCGCAGGGGAAGGGACGGGACCGGCAGCCUCCGGGCGGGCGUGGCCUCGAGGCCCAGACCGGAACUUCCCUUCGGCCUCAGUUUCCCGGCCGGCCCCCGCCCUCGGCGCCCGCACACGCGGCCCCUUUAAGAACUUGCUGUGCCCUCCCGCCUCUUUUUUCUCGCGCGUCUCCCCUCCCAGGCUGCUCCGCCCUCGCCGGGAGCGCGCCUACGUCACCGCGCAAACCGAGGCCGUGUUUUCGCGCCUGCGCUUCCUGGGCCGGGGUGAGCCAUUGGCUGCCGAGCUCAGGACCCACGGUAGGGGGCGGGGCCUUUUCCGGAAAGGGUGGGGCAACGGCGAGAACGGCCGCGUCGAGCGGUUGGGCAGUCGUCGCCGUGGUGACCUCCGCUGCGGCCCAGGGCCCGCCAAUGGCUGUAAAGCUCUUGGGCACCUGACGGGAUGGGCGGGCCCCCCGCCGGAAGGGGCGGGGCGAGGCGAGCGGCCGCGUCAGUGGUAG